rnacentral:rRNA from 1 species
CCUACGGGUGGCAGCAGUGAGGAAUAUUGGUCAAUGGUCGGGAGACUGAACCAGCCAAGCCGCGUGAGGGAUGAAGGUACAGAGUAUCGUAAACCUCUUUUGUCAGGGAACAAAGGCGGGGACGUGUCCCCGGAUGAGUGUACCUGAAGAAAAAGCAUCGGCUAACUCCGUGCCAGCAGCCGCGGUAAUACGGGGGAUGCGAGCGUUAUCCGGAUUUUUUGGGGUUAAAGGGUGCGCAGGCGGUCUGUUAAGUCAGCGGUAAAAGCCCGGGGCUCAACCCCGGCCCGCCGUUGAAACUGGCAGUCUCGAGUUGGAGAGAGGUAUGCGGAAUGCGCGGUGUAGCGGUGAAAUGCAUAGAUAGCACGCAGAACUCCGAUUGCGAAGGCAGCAUGCCGGCUCCACACUGACGCUGAGGCACGAAAGCGUGGGUAUCGAACAGGAUUAGAUACCCGUGUAGUC